rnacentral:rRNA from 1 species
CCUACGGGUGGCAGCAGUAGGGAAUCUUCCGCAAUGGACGAAAGUCUGACGGAGCAACGCCGCGUGAGUGAAGAAGGUUUUCGGAUCGUAAAACUCUGUUGUUAGGGAAGAACAAGUUGGGUAGUAACUGACCCUACCUUGACGGUACCUAACCAGAAAGCCACGGCUAACUACGUGCCAGCAGCCGCGGUAAUACGUAGGUGGCAAGCGUUGUCCGGAAUUAUUGGGCGUAAAGGGCUCGCAGGCGGUUUCUUAAGUCUGAUGUGAAAGCCCCCGGCUCAACCGGGGAGGGUCAUUGGAAACUGGGGAACUUGAGUGCAGAAGAGGAGAGUGGAAUUCCACGUGUAGCGGUGAAAUGCGUAGAGAUGUGGAGGAACACCAGUGGCGAAGGCGACUCUCUGGUCUGUAACUGACGCUGAGGAGCGAAAGCGUGGGUAGCGAACAGGAUUAGAUACCCCAGUAGUCC